UACAGAGGUCUCAAGCGUUGUUCGGAAUUACUGGGCGUAAAGCGCGCGCAGGCGGUCUUCCAAGUCAGUGGUGAAAGCCCGGAGCUCAACUCCGGAACUGCCAUUGAAACUGUUAGACUUGAGGAUGAGAGAGGUGAGUGGAAUUCCCAGUGUAGAGGUGAAAUUCGUAGAUAUUGGGAAGAACACCGGUGGCGAAGGCGGCUCACUGGACUGGUAUUGACGCUGAGGUGCGAAAGCGUGGGGAGCAAACAGG
rnacentral:rRNA from 1 species